rnacentral:rRNA from 1 species
UACAGAGGGUGCGAGCGUUGUCCGGAAUCACUGGGCGUAAAGGGCGCGUAGGCGGCCUGAUAAGUAGGGGGUGAAAUCCUGUGGCUCAACUGCAGGGCUGCCUCCUAGACUGUCGGGCUUUGAGCACGGUAGAGGCAGAUGGAAUUCCCGGUGUAGCGGUGGAAUGCGUAGAGAUCCGGAAGAACACCGGUGGCGAAGGCGGCCUGCUGGGCAGUAGCUGACACUGAGGCGCGACAGCGUGGGGAGCAAACAGG